UUGGCUGGUGUCAAAAACAAAACAGGCCAAGGUGUUGUGACCUCUUGUGUCUCAGACCUGGUCCUGUCACUGACAUCCAAGUGUCCAGGGUGGGCCCCUCUUCUGUGGGACCUUGCCAGGCUGUACAGCUGCCAGGCUGCUGCAUGGAGCUAAACCAGUGCUUGGACACCACCUUUAUAGCUCCAUGGAAAAUUAGAAGGUAGUCUACAUUUCUUGUGGCACACCCAGUGUGUUGAUAGAAGCAAUGCUUCAAGUGACAGCUCCCAUCUCCUCCAAUACCUUCGUAUAUUUCUGAGUCAAGAGAAACCCUGCUUCCUUCAGAGUGAAGAUACCAGUGAUUGACAGCACCUUGCCUCUUCAUGAGAGAGCAUUUUUCCUGGUUCUUUUAAAACAAGGCACUUUUAUUUGCACAAAGUAAAUUAGAUUCUGGUGUCCUUGCAAAAAUGAGCUUCUGUUUCUACUGGAGUCCAACUAUCAAGUUGCCCAAAGUUAUUCUCUUGCUACAGAAAAAUGUUGAUCAAUUCAGCUGAAAACAAGGUCCUUCUUGCCUUGUCCUUGUCCUUCGUGGGAAAUAGGGGUUUCCAACCUGUUUUGCCCUGCAGUGUCCUUGGAAACUUAAAAGAGAACAGGUGUCUGCUCUUUGGGCAUGUCUACUGCUGUGGCUGAGUUCCUGUAGUCAAUAUUAAUGUGGCUGUCUCCUCUCUCCACCCCUAAAGAAAUCAAUGAUAUGUUGAUUUUCAAUAUGAGAAUGGUAACUUGUCAUGCAGCUGUGUACUAUUUGCAGAGGCCAUAUCAGUCACUGGACAUAACUGUGAUAAGUGGCACCUGUUGUACCAUUUAUGUGUGUGCAUAAAGCACCAUUUAAAGAAAGGAAUAAGGCUGAGCAGGAAGGCUGCCUGUUGGCAAUGUUCAGGCUUCUUCAGUGCUGGUAUUGUGGAGGGGGAAAAUUGCUCUGUCCCUGAGGACAGCUGAACAUGCGCAUGUGGGAGAGGAUUCUGGUGUGUGAGGCAGGACAGAUGGGGACUGACAAAGCCAUCAGUGGGGAAGCUGCUGCAAGACUGUGUGCUGGGAGGCAUCUGAGGAGAGCAUGGAGCUGGCAUGGAAUCUGCUAAGGGGCUCAUGGAAACCCUUCCUGCAGAAAAGGGGAUUCUGCUGGGGACCCCAGACAGACUGUGUGAAAUUUGUUGGCAUCCAGGACUCUGACAAAAAUUACUGAUCUAGAAAAUGAGAAUGGAAGGACCUACCCUGCAAGGCACAGUGAAUAAGGAGAGGAUUUGCAAGAUUUGUUUUUACUCUGUCUCACCAUAUUACAUUUAACUGGACAUGUAAAAGUAGCUUGUUCUAGUGCAUGCUUUAAUAAAUCACCAAGUUUACAAGCGUU